AUGAUUAAGCUACUAAGGGCGUACGGUGGAUGCCUUGGCGUCAGGGGCCGAAGAAGGGCGUGGCAGGCUGCGAUAAGCCCCGGGGAGCCGUCAAGCGGGCUUUGAUCCGGGGAUUCCCGAAUGGGGAAACCCACCCAGGGGAAUGCCUGGGUACCCCCAGCUGAAUACAUAGGCUGGUGGGAGGGAACCGAGGGAACUGAAACAUCUUAGUACCUCGAGGAAAAGAGAUCAUUCCCUGAGUAGUGGCGAGCGAAAGGGGAACAGCCCAAACCUAUCUUGUGUCAAGGCUGUAGCCGUUGCAAGGUAGGGGUUGUAAGGCACGGCCGGGUCGCUACAGAGGCCCAGAGGAGUUACAAACCUGAUCUCUAGCGGAAGGAUACUGGAAAGGUCCACCAUAGAGAGUGAUAGUCUCGUACGCGAAAGGGAUCAGGCUCCUGCCGUUGACCUUGAGUACCACGGGGCACGCUAAUCCUGUGGGAAGCAGGGAAGUCCACUUCCCAAGGCUAAAUACUCUUGACGACCGAUAGUGAACAAGUACCGUGAGGGAAAGGUGAAAAGAACGCCGGUGAGGCGAGUGAAAUAGAACCUGAAACCGUAUGCCUACAAGCGGUGGGAGGGCUAUACCCCUUAGGGGGCAGGCCUGACCGCGUGCCUUUUGGAGAAUGAACCGGCGAGUUACUCUCUGUGGCGAGGUUAAGGGAGUCACACCCGGAGCCGUAGCGAAAGCGAGUCUGAAUAGGGCGCACUAGUCGCAGGGAGUAGACCCGAAACCAGGUGAGCUACCCAUGGCCAGGGUGAAGCGAUAGUAAUGCAUCGUGGAGGCCCGAACCCACCAGAGUUGCAAAUCUGGGGGAUGAGCUGUGGGUAGAGGUGAUAUGCCAAACGAACCUGGAGAUAGCUGGUUCUCCCCGAAAUAGCUUUAGGGCUAGCCUCAGGCGUUUAGUGGUGGAGGUAGAGCACUGAAUUGGCUAGGGGGCGUAAAGCUUACCAAACCAAACCAAACUCCGAAUGCCACCACUCUAGAGCCUGGGAGUCGGACAGUGGGGGAUAAGCUUCAUUGUCAAAAGGGAAAGAGCCCAGACCGUCAGCUAAGGUCCCUAAGUCCAGGCUAAGUGGGCAAGGAGGUGGAAUUACUGGGACAGCCAGGAGGUUGGCUUAGAAGCAGCCAUCCUUUAAAGAGUGCGUAAUAGCUCACUGGUCAAGUGAUUCUGCGCCGACAAUUUAACGGGGCUCAAGCCUGGCACCGAAGCUACGGGAGGUCGGAAGCUUGAGGACAUAACGGCUCAAGGAGAGUGGUUGAGCUUUGCUCCCAGCUUCUUGUGUCGGUUCUCAAAGCCUUCCGAUUUCGGUAGGGGAGCGUUCUGCUCAGCUGUGAAGCUGGACCGUGAGGACCAGUGGAGCGGGCAGAAGUGAGAAUGCCGGUAUGAGUAGCGAGAAACAUGUGAGAAACAUGUUCGCCGUAAACCUAAGGUUUCCGACGGAAGGUUAAUCCGCGUCGGGUUAGUCGGGCCUAAGCCGAGGGCGAAGGCCGUAGGCGAUGGACAACAGGUUAAUAUUCCUGUACCACCUGGGUGGAGCGAUGGGGGGACGCGGAGGGGUAGGCCAGCCUGUUAUUGGAUUCAGGUGCCAAGCUCGUAGGAGGCCGGACCAGGAAAAUCCGGACCGGCGUUAACUCUGAGGAGUGGGCGGUGCCGUAAGGCCAGAAGUGACCGAGCCCAGCCGCCAAGAAAAGCCUCUAAGUGAUGAAACCCUGGUGACCGUACCGCAAACCGACACAGGUAGGUGGGUAGAGUAUACCAAGGCGAUCGGGAGAACCCUCGUUAAGGAACUCGGCAAUUUUGCUCCGUAACUUCGGGAGAAGGAGCGCCCUUUUGGGUGAAGCGACUAGCUCGCGGAGCCCAGGGGGGCCGCAGUGAAAUGGCCCUGGCGACUGUUUAACAAAAACACAGGUCUCUGCAAACUCGCAAGAGGAUGUAUAGGGGCUGACGCCUGCCCAGUGCCGGAAGGUUAAAGGGAAGGGUUAUGCUGGCUUCGGCCAGCGGCAGCUCUGAACUGAAGCCCCGGUGAACGGCGGCCGUAACUAUAACGGUCCUAAGGUAGCGAAAUUCCUU
rnacentral:rRNA from 1 species